AAAAGAACUCUGAAUAGAGAGUUAAAUAGUACGUGAAACUGCUUAGAGGUUAAACCCGAUGAACCUGAAUAUCCAAUAUAAAGAAUUCAUCAUUAAAUUAAUAAUUUUUAUUAUUAAGAUAGUGUGCAUUUUCUUUAUAUAAAUGGACAUUGUAAUCUAUUAAUAUAUAAUUUAUAUUUAUCAUAAGAUUAAUAGUUUAUGUUUAUUUUAUAUAAUAUAUUUUCGAAUUUAUUAUUAAAAUAAUUUCUAUUAAUUUGAUAAAGUAUUAAUAGAUUUAAUCAUAUGUAUAAUGCAUACAAUUUCUUUUAGAAAUUUUAUAAUAUUUAUAUUAUAAGCAUUUAUACGAUUUACAAUGCGAAAGAUUCAGGAUACCUUCGGGAC
rnacentral:rRNA from 1 species